UUUCUAUGACUCAUAAGAUUCAGGCUAUGAAAAGUAGGACAAGCUUUAAUGCAAGGAAUAACACAAACAUCAGUGUCCGUUUACGUACUUCCAUCACUAAAUUUGAAUCACAAAACAUUUCCCCAUUUUUUCUUUAAUUUAAAGGAGGAGAAGAAUUCACAGCUCUAUCUUCACUCCUCUGCUUAGCGAAGACCAAGGGCAAACAGCAGGAAAACCUGGAGAGUGUUUUGCUGCAGAUUGGGAGCAGCCACUAGGAGGGGCUGACUGCCUUGAAGAGAAGGUAUAAUACCCUGAAGAUGGAGGGAGGCUUCUCCUGGGGUUCAAAUGCUAACCUUGGACUCAGAAGAGAAGGGUUCCAUAUCCUGCUGUGUUACAGUUGUCUUGAGCAAGUAACAUCUUACCUCUGAAAAAAUGAAAGAGACAGCAACAUUACACGUGAGUAAUGUGUGAGAUGAUGAGUUGGAGUAAGAGACUGAAACACUGGCAGUUCCAGAAAGCAAAGCUGUCUGCUACCUAUCACCUCAGAUCCAUCGGGUUUGUCCCAUCUCAGCCAUGCAGCAUGUCCUGCUGCCUUCUGUUUGUCCCAUUCUACAAGAAAAAUAUGACACUCAUGCAGCUCCAUUAUCUUGGUACAGCCUGGGAUUUAAUUGGAAGGUACAGGGAGUAGAGGGGGAAACAGUCACUAAGAAGCUAACUAUCUGUAAAGAAAUACAUUGCCCUCCUACUGAAAAUCAGGUGAAAAAUCCUAGAUUAGACAUUCAGUGCAUUUUCUAGACUAGUAAUUCAGGUAUGUUUGGAUAAUUACAUAACCUUUUACCUGCAGAUGACACAUACAGCUUUCAUUUCUGUCUUCUGCAAAGAGAGAAAAGAACUGCACCAAUAGUCAAUGUAUUUUAUAUUCCUUAUCACUCUAUUCCUUUCUUAGUCUAAUGAGUUGGGGUUCUCUUCACACACAUUUUCCUUAUGUCUGUUCAGAGUGAUAUUCGUGGCAUCUGCUAAUGCUGCCUGACAGCUAGUAUUUCAUCUUGAUCCUCUGUAAUUAUCCUUCCAAAUUUGUCUCUUUUCACAUUUCUUACCAGCCUCUUCAACAAAUUUUUUAGACAUUGUAAAAUUCUGGUCCUGCUUCCAAGUGAUACUGCAGUUUAA